UACGGAGGGGGCUAGCGUUGUUCGGAAUUACUGGGCGUAAAGCGCACGUAGGCGGCUUUGUAAGUUAGAGGUGAAAGCCCGGAGCUCAACUCCGGAAUUGCCUUUAAGACUGCAUCGCUCGAAUCAUGGAGAGGUGAGUGGAAUUCCGAGUGUAGAGGUGAAAUUCGUAGAUAUUCGGAAGAACACCAGUGGCGAAGGCGACUCACUGGACAUGUAUUGACGCUGAGGUGCGAAAGCGCGGGGAGCAAACAGG
rnacentral:rRNA from 1 species